CUAUAAUCUCCGUUUGGCCCUUUACAUUUUAAGCUGAUACAAGGGAAAGGAUAGUGGAAUUAUCAGUGCUGUUAACACUAGUGUCCUUUACUAAGUUAUCAUUUUCCAAAAUUUCAAGAACGAACAUUUAUCCACCCAGACACUCCAAGCAUUUGAAGUAAUUUAAACCUUUCCACAACUUAUAAACAAACAGGUAAUUCGUUCUAGUUAUGGACAAGUAUGCCCAUACCGACUAGAAAAUUUGAGAGCAAAAAUAUUUCUAAGCCAACUAAUUUACAAGGAAACGCUUCCAGUGAGGCCCUAGAAACCCUAGAACCAAAAAACCUGUCCAAAGAAGACAAACCACAGCUCCCAAAAAUCCUCUCCUUAAACGAAAAUUUCUGGUACCUCAGCGAAAUCAGACUGGUGGCCAGGGUUGUGCUGGCUCUCGGGACGAAUCUCAAUAUCAGCCGACUCAUCGACGAUUUCCUGCAUCGUAUUCUGAAUAAACUCAUCGAAU
rnacentral:misc_RNA from 1 species